GCUUCAGCUUCCUCCUGCCUCCAGAAUGUUCUGUGGCUCCAGAACCAGCUGGAUGGUCACACUUCUCUGUACUUCUCCACACAUCACAUGGAGAAACAAGCAAAGCCAAACUCAAAGACCCUCAGACAAGAUGGAUUAAAUAAUUUGUGGCCACAGAACAUUUCCUCUGGCUUCAGAAAAAUACUCUUGUCAUUUCUAGGGCUGCCUCAGCUGCCAGCAGUGGUGGCUGUGUUGUCCCAGUACUGCCCACAGUCCAGCUGGAGUCCAGCUUGCAAGGAUGCGCACUGUGCAGCCAACCUGCAGCAAGGAAAAGAUUGGAAGCAGCCUGAUUUCUGAGAUCUUGCAGAGAGCUGGUUCCUUGGAAAGAAGAGCUAGACCUGACAGCCCUGGACUUUAUUGAAGACGGCAUUAUGAAACUCCACCAGGCCAGCUUCCAAGUGUCCAACUGGAACUGCACUGGGAAAAAGCUGUCACUGACAGGAGUCAGUGGAGCUGAAGGCUCUGUGCACAAUGGGUCCUGUGGGAUCAGGUGCUGUGCAGCCCCAGCUUUACGUUUUCCACCACUAUGGAUGGGCAGUG